UACAGAGGUCCCGAGCGUUGUUCGGAUUCACUGGGCGUAAAGGGUGCGUAGGUGGCUGGGAAAGUUUGAUGUGAAAGCUCAGGGCUUAACCCUGAAAUGGCAUUGAAUACUGCCUGGCUGGAGGUUUGGAGGGGGACUGGAAUUCUUGGUGUAGCAGUGAAAUGCGUAGAUAUCAAGAGGAACACCAGUGGCGAAGGCGGGUCUCUGGACAGUUCCUGACGCUGAGGCACGAAGGCCAGGGGAGCAAACGGG
rnacentral:rRNA from 1 species